AUGCACCAGGGUGCCUGUGUGCCUCCUGCACUGUCCAAGAAAAAUCAUGGACAUGCGGUCAAGAAGAAAGAUGGCAGCUGUGGCUCUUGGUGCUUACCUUGUAUUCCUAUAUCGCAUACAUCCCUGACAAGAUGGCACACUCAUAAGCAAGGUAAAGGCUAGCAGGACUCUUGUACUUGUAAAUGUUUCUGCUGGUCUAAAGAUGACUUACAGGUAGUUUAUGAGGAUGAGCUCAGCAAGAUAGCAAAACAUAGACUCAGUUUGUCCCCUGAGUAAGACCAACAGAGCUGUGACUGGGCUUAGGCUAAAGAUGCUGUGGGGUGCAGAGUCAUUGUUUAUAGCCAACACAAUAGGAAGAGUUGUUAGGAGAAUACUGAGGGUGCUUUUGUCUGGAGAGUACGCAAGCCAGUCAAAAUGUACAGCCUUUGGGCAGGCAGAGCCAAAGAGCUCCACCUAGUGAUACCCACAAGUUCUUCUGAGGGUACUACUCAGCAAGGAGAAAUCAAGACCCACCUUUCACAGAGGAGGAGAAGGAGAAACAGACCUUGGAAAUAAAAUGCAAAGGAACAAGUGACAGUGUAUGGGGCGUCAGACAUGUGUAAAAUAGGCUGCGAGUACCUGCCCCGAUGGUUGUUUGAUAACCAAAUAUUUCCUUUUGAAAUGUUUUAUGUUCAUGAAACAGAAGUAGCACCUAAGUAAUCCUUUAUUACAUGACACACUGUAUACUGAUAUAUUUGUCACUCUGUUUUAUAGGUUGUGUCAUCUUUGUGGUCACAGGAUAUGUAUUAUUUGGUAAGUUCAGUUUGCAGUAAUUUAUGGUGGUUUUUUUUCUUACUGGAAUUUAGGAAAGAUUUUGUAAUGCAGCAAUGAUAUUGGG
rnacentral:lncRNA from 1 species